UUACACCGGUUGCCGGCACACCUUCCCGC
rnacentral:sRNA from 1 species